rnacentral:rRNA from 1 species
AUUGAACGCUGGCGGCAGGCCUAACACAUGCAAGUCGAACGAGUGGCGGACGGGUGAGUAAUGUCUGGGAAACUGCCUGAUGGAGGGGGAUAACUACUGGAAACGGUAGCUAAUACCGCAUACCAUCAGAUGUUCCCAGAUGGGAUUAGCUAGUAGGUGAGUUAACGGCUCACCUAGUCGACGAUCCCUAGCUGGUCUGAGAGGAUGACCAGCCACACUGGAGAUGAGACACGGUGCAGACUCCUACGCGAGGCAGCAGUGGGGAAUAUUGCACGAUGGGCGCAAGCCUGAUGCAGCCAUGCCGCGUGUAUGAAGAAGGCCUUCGGGUUGUAAAGUACUUUCAGCGGGGAGGCGUUACCCGCAGAAGAAGCACCGGCUAACUCCGGGCCAGCAGCCGCGGUAAUAC